CAAUGCAUUUGCCUUGUGGAGCCCUAGGGAACAGAAAAGCGUAGGCGAGCAGCUGGCAGCCACCAUCGCAUUUGCUCCCAGAAGGCAAGACGAGGAAGAGAAAAUUCCAGAACUAUUUAUGCGUCUGGGACCCUGAGGAUCCGUAUUCAUUCCCCGUCGGCUCAAGCCCAGCCUCCGCGGGCGGCGCGUGUCCACGAGGAGGCGGUGUGGACCCGCGGGCGCCGGACCAGGCCUCAGGCAGGAGGGAGACAUGAGACAUCAAUCAACAUAUACAAGAUGAACAUUGGUUCCAUCUGGAAAGGCGGGACAACUGGAGGCAAACCCGGGAAGACUCGAAGCGGGGAGGGGCUUCCAGGUCACAAGUGAUCACAUUCUUUUGAGUGUCUGAUGAGCCUCUCCAAAGGAGGCAAUCAGAGAUGCAUUUAUGUCAGUGAGCAGAGGGGUGACUUUGAAUUUAAUGGGAGGCAGAUUGACCCUAAUCAGUCCCCAGCUUGACUUUUCCCUUUAGUUUAGUGAUUUGGGGGGCCCCAAGAUUUAUUUUCUUUCAUAGAAUGUACAUUCUGCAGUUGUUGGGUAGAAUGUUCUGUGAAUAUCUGUUAAAUAUAUUUGUUUUAUGGUAUA